ensembl:ncRNA H01G02.7 ncRNA
AGAAAAGCUCUCAAAAACUGGGCGGAGCAGGGGUUGGCUCCCGGGGAGGGCGGGGCCUGGUUCCUUCCGACUUUGUCCGUCAGAAUCGAUGAGUGAGUCUUUCGGACGACGGGUCCCGGCCAGUCAAA